rnacentral:lncRNA from 1 species
GUCUGGACUCCUACAGGAGCCGGACUUCGCCCUCGACUCCAACUGCAGGAAGACUCUGUCCGGACUCCUACGGGAGCUGGACCUCACCCUCGACUUCAAUUGCAAGAAGACUCUGUCCGAACUCCUACGGGAGCCGGACCUCGCCCUCGACUUCAAUUUCAGGAAGACUCCGUCCGGACUCCUACGGGAGCCGGACUCCAUCCCUGACUCCAACUGCGGGAAGACUCCGUUUGGACUCCUACAGGAGCCGGACUUUGCCCUCGACUUCAAUUGCAG